rnacentral:rRNA from 1 species
CCUACGGGAGGCAGCAGUGGGGAAUUUUGGACAAUGGGCGCAAGCCUGAUCCAGCCAUGCCGCGUGCGGGAAGAAGGCCUUCGGGUUGUAAACCGCUUUUGUCAGGGUAAGAAAAUGUUCUGGAUAAUACCUGGGACUCAUGACGGUACCUGAAGAAUAAGCACCGGCUAACUACGUGCCAGCAGCCGCGGUAAUACGUAGGGUGCAAGCGUUAAUCGGAAUUACUGGGCGUAAAGCGUGCGCAGGCGGUUAUGCAAGACAGAGGUGAAAUCCCCGGGCUCAACCUGGGAACUGCCUUUGUGACUGCAUAGCUAGAGUACGGUAGAGGGGGAUGGAAUUCCGCGUGUAGCAGUGAAAUGCGUAGAUAUGCGGAGGAACACCGAUGGCGAAGGCAAUCCCCUGGACCUGUACUGACGCUCAUGCACGAAAGCGUGGGGAGCAAACAGGAUUAGAUACCCUGGUAGUCCACGCCCUAAACGAUGUCAACUGGUUGUUGGGAGGGUUUCUUNUCAGUAACGUAGCUAACGCGUGAAGUUGACCGCCUGGGGNGGCGGCGCGAGUUAGAGUANANAGAGUUGNGNGNGAGAGNGCGAGACGACGACGAGGGAGGAGG